UUUUCUAUAAAUCAGAAUGAUCUGAAAUUUGGAGCGUGUGUUCAUAAAAAAUAGGAUAAUCUAAUAAAAAUAUAAAAAUAAAUAGACUAAAAUUCCUCUGAAAAUUUGUGAGAGUAUUUUGGUCAAUUUAUAUUUUGAAAUUUUUUUUUUCAUAUUUUUAUUAAUUGUCUCUCACUAAGAUGUACACGCACUCCAAAUUUCAGAUCAUUCCGAUUUAUAGAAAA
rfam:Amborella trichopoda AMTR_V1.0_contig_35738, whole genome shotgun sequence.